GAAGAACGCCUGCAGACUCAACAGAUGCAAUUCUAGAUACAUCAUGUAAUCUUACUUCUAAAAACAUUUCUGACGUUCAAAAACCUGGUGAAAAGAAUCACACAUUUGGAGAAAUAGCUGUGGUGACUGCUGUUCUCUUUGGAUUGUGUAUUUUAAUUUGCAUUGGGAUCAUCUCAAGAAAAUGCUUUAAGAAAAACUCAAUGAUACAAAGAGUUGGAAUUAGUAAAAGGAAUAAUCGAGUACCACAAAAUGCAAACAAAGCGACUCGUGACAGCUAUACUGAUCCUUGGGAACUUCGUCAUAAUAUCGUUCAUAUGAGUGGACUUAACCAACAGGAAAUCAUUAAUGUUCCA